rnacentral:snRNA from 1 species
GGAAAAGAGAAGUUAUAGAUCUGGCUGGCUAGGUGGGUGUCCCCUUCCUCUCUCANCAUUCCAUGUGUUGCAUGCUCCAUGCUCUAGUUGCAUGCUCAGUGGAAGACACUNAGUACCCCAGAUUGGAGUGUGCCAUUCUUUGUAAAGGGUAAACAAUAACUGUGCUCUCUUGCUAGNACCACUGAACAAGCUCAAGGUCCAGACUUCUUGGGCAGUCACUGACAUUGUCAGUGACAUUUUACAGAUAUGCCAGUAUGGAAGCUAGUUGUAACAUCUUUAAGACCAUUCCUGGCUAA